UACGGGAGGCAGCAGUGGGGAAUAUUGCACAAUGGGCGCAAGCCUGAUGCAGCCAUGCCGCGUGUAUGAAGAAGGCCUUCGGGUUGUAAAGUACUUUCAGUCGUGAGGAAGGUGUUAAGGUUAAUAACCUUAGCAAUUGACGUUAGCGGCAGAAGAAGCACCGGCUAACUCCGUGCCAGCAGCCGCGGUAAUACGGAGGGUGCGAGCGUUAAUCGGAAUUACUGGGCGUAAAGGGCACGCAGGCGGUUAAUUAAGUUGGAUGUGAAAUCCCCGGGCUUAACCUGGGAAUGGCAUUCAAGACUGGUUAGCUAGAGUCUUGUAGAGGGGGUAGAAUUCCAUGUGUAGCGGUGAAAUGCGUAGAGAUGUGGAGGAAUACCGGUGGCGAAGGCGGCCCCUGGACAAAGACUGACGCUCAUGUGCGAAAGCGUGGGGAGCAAAC
rnacentral:rRNA from 1 species